rfam:Candidate division WOR_1 bacterium DG_54_3 WOR1_52_54_1759, whole genome shotgun sequence.
GCCGCGGUGGCGGAAUUGGCAGACGCGCACGAUUCAGGAUCGUGUGGGUAACACCGUGGGAGUUCGACUCUCCCCCGCGGCA